rnacentral:rRNA from 1 species
AUUGAACGCUGGCGGCAGGCCUAACACAUGCAAGUCGAGCGAGCGGCGGACGGGUGAGUAAUGUAUGGGGAUCUGCCUGAUGGAGGGGGAUAACUACUGGAAACGGUAGCUAAUACCGCAUACCAUCAGAUGAACCCAUAUGGGAUUAGCUUGUAGGUAAGGUAACGGCUUACCUAGGCGACGAUCCCUAGCUGGUCUGAGAGGAUGAUCAGCCACACUGGGACGGAGACACGGCCCAGACUCCUACGGGAGGCAGCAGUGGGGAAUAUUGCACAAUGGGCGAAAGCCUGAGGCAGCCAUGCCGCGUGUAUGAAGAAGGCCGUCGGGUUGUAAAGUACUUUCAGUCGGGAGGCGUUACCGGCAGAAGAAGCACCGGCUAACUCCGUGCCAGCAGCGGCGGUAAUUC